rnacentral:lncRNA from 1 species
UGAUCAGCUGCUCGCAACAAGCAAAGAAGAUUGCGAAAAUGGGAAAAAUUGUUUUUGCCUUCCCAAAGAAGAGAGCGCGAAAAACCCGUGGCCUCCUCGCCUCACCUCCCCUCCUCUGUGUAUGGAGCGGCGCCCAGCGACUGGAUUCCGCGCCGGGAGACUCACCCUGAACGCGUAUGUCGGUCUGGCUCGGUACGUACCCCUUCCUAUCGGGCACCUUCUCACUUUUACCUUUUUCCAGGCAGUUUCACGCACGGAAAAUGAAUUUGACGCUGGAGGAAAAACAAGCGCGUCCGAUCGCUUUCACUCUUCCUCAUUCAUAUAAUGCGUGUGUGUGUGUGUGUGUGAAUAUUUUGUGUUACUUUUGGCAAAAGAAUUCGCUGAAUAAUGUCCAACCCUUGUUCAGUCUCCGUGCUGGGCUGGCGACGCGACGCUGCUGUGCCAUUGUCCGGCAGCUAAUUUAUCGGGAUAAUUGCCAAAUGACCAAAUGGGGAGUUUUAUUACAGUUGCCAGAGUGGUGGGAGGAGCAGAAGCAGAGGCAGAAGCAGCACGACUGAUGAGCAAAGCACAAAAAUUUGGCCAGACAACGCGCAACGGAACGCAGCAACCCCAACCAGCCCGCAGAAGGGGACUCAUGUGGCACGUCUAGCCCUAGCUCUGUGUUUCUAUCUCUGUAUCUGUUCAUGUAUUUGUACCCUGCUCAACCUUCGGCUGUUGCUUCUCCCCUUUCUGUGUGUAUUUUUAAUUGUAAUUCAUAAAUUACAUUAUUUACCGACUCAGUGGGUGGGUUGCUUAUUGAUGCCUGCCAUUUGGGGAUACACACACCCACACACCCACACACACACACACUCACAUGAGCUAAGAAAUCGAUAUGCCCACAGAAAUGCUCCUCUCAUAAAUGUCAACUUUUGGGCUGUAAACUGCAAACGAAAUUGAAAUUGAAUUGAAUCUGGCACUUAGCACCGCGUGCCAGUCGGAUUCAAUUUUGCACUGAUUCAAUUUGGAUACUUUUACUUAUUCUUUAUGCAAAAUUAUUGCCGCAACGCAUUGACUUGGAUCAGGGUCGGAUCUUUGUGGGGCUGUUCAACGAGUUGGAAAACGCCCAGGGACUUCAGAGAGUGAGGCCUCUGCGUGUAUGUAAAUUCGCCAAACAAAUCACUCGAGCUCGGGAAAUACCCCUAGGGGAAUCCUUUAGUUAUCCUUUAGCGAUUUUUCAAAUAAACAUGCAACACAUUCCCCAACCCCCGGUGCGAGUAGCGCUUUUUCCUUCUUGUUUUUUUUUUUUUUUUUUGCGUGGGGUAUCAGGUUUCCGCCAACUCGUUCGCUCGCCUUUCCCCUGCUGACAUGCCCAAGCUUUUGCUUUAGCUUUAGCUUUUGGUGGUGGGUGGCGGAAUCUGAUGGCAAUCUUAUUUGUCAUAUCAUUCGACAACAACGGAAAUUCACUUAAGGUAGAUUUCAGAACACUCAAUGACAAGCCAUCAUUUUAUUUGUUCUACAAAAUCGUUUGCAUGCAGGUCUGAGUGCACGCUUCAAUGGUAAGAAAACGAUUUUCAUUGCCUCCACAGCCGCCAUAGAGGAACGAGAUGCAUUCGUUUUUGGAUUUAUCAUAGGUAAAGAAAGGCAAUGGCAUCCGACAAAUACCUCCGACACCAGGCGGCCGAUCGCAGAAGUUAUCUGUGUGGAAUUGGAGUUUUAUUUUCUCAUCAACUGCACAUCGGAUGCUCACCUGCCAGACUCAUGGUGCUGACAGAGCACGCGCCACACAUUAACCAGAAGAGCAGAAAUGGCUUCAUUGCGGCUCAGUCUCGAAUGUGGAACUAACAUUUGCCUGCUUUGGAGUCUACUUUUAUAUUGGCAUAUGGUGGAACACAUCGGGUUUGUCCAAUUAGUUACGGAGUUCAUGUCCAUGUCUGUGGCCCAGCAAAGCUGGCAAAUCACAGCUCAAAAAAUGCAUGUGGCAGCUGCAUAGGAAAUGCAUUUUGUAAUAUAAUUUAAAGUAAUUUAAUGCACUUAAAUAUAAACGAAUUUUGUUAGAUUUCUUCCAUUAUUUUCUGC